rnacentral:rRNA from 1 species
GCAGUCGACGAACCUUCGGGUUAGUGGCGGACGGGUGAGUAACGCGUGAGAAUCUGCCCUCAGGAGGGGGAUAACGGCUGGAAACGGCCGCUAAUACCCCAUAUGCCGAGAGGUGAAAUGAAAUUCGCCUGAGGAUGAGCUCGCGUCUGAGUAGCUAGUUGGUGGGGUAAGAGCCUACCAAGGCAUCGAUCAGUAGCUGGUCUGAGAGGAUGAUCAGCCACACUGGGACUGAGACACGGCCCAGACUCCUACGGGAGGCAGCAGUGGGGAAUUUUCCGCAAUGGGCGAAAGCCUGACGGAGCAACGCCGCGUGAGGGAUGAAGGCCUCUGGGCUGUAAACCUCUUUUAUCAAGGAAGAAGAUCUGACGGUACUUGAUGAAUAAGCCACGGCUAAUUCCGUGCAGCAGCCGCGGUAAUACGGGAGUGGCAAGCGUUAUCCGGAAUUAUUGGGCGUAAAGCGUCCGCAGGCGGCCUCGUAAGUCUGUUGUUAAAGCGUGGAGCUUAACUCCAUUUCGGCAAUGGAAACUGUUGGGCUUGAGUGUGGUAGGGGCAAAGGGAAUUCCC